rnacentral:rRNA from 1 species
AACGAACGCUGGCGGCAUGCCUAACUCAUGCCAGUCGAACGAGACCUUCGGGUCUAGUGGCGCACGGGUGCGUAACGCGUGGGAACCUGCCCUUAGGUUCGGAAUAACUCCCCGAAAGGGGUGCUAAUACCGGAUAAUGUCUUCGGACCAAAGAUUUAUCGCCUUUGGAUGGGCCCGCGUUGGAUUAGCUAGUUGGUAGGGUAAAAGCCUACCAAGGCGACGAUCCAUAGCUGGUCUGAGAGGAUGAUCAGCCACACUGGGACUGAGACACGGCCCAGACUCCUACGGGAGGCAGCAGUGGGGAAUAUUGGACAAUGGGCGAAAGCCUGAUCCAGCAAUGCCGCGUGAGUGAUGAAGGCCUUAGGGUUGUAAAGCUCUUUUACCCGGGAUGAUAAUGACAGUACCGGGAGAAUAAGCGCCGGCUAACUCCGUG